UACGAAGGGGGCUAGCGUUGCUCGGAAUUACUGGGCGUAAAGCGCGCGUAGGCGGCUUUGUAAGUUAGAGGUGAAAGCCCGGGGCUCAACCCCGGAACUGCCUUUAAGACUGCAUCGCUUGAAUCCAGGAGAGGUGAGUGGAAUUCCGAGUGUAGAGGUGAAAUUCGUAGAUAUUCGGAAGAACACCAGUGGCGAAGGCGGCUCACUGGACUGGUAUUGACGCUGAUGUGCGAAAGCGUGGGGAGCAAACAGG
rnacentral:rRNA from 1 species